UGAAAAGGUGCAGGCCAUAUUGUGCUGCCUCAAAAAUACAAGGAUUUCAUCAUCCUGAAGAGAAAUGUCAUUUAGGAAUUAGUCAAUCUUGUGAUGCUGAUGUCUGUCAUACUCUAGCAGCACGUAAAUAUUGGUGUUAAAACUGUAAAUAUCUCCAGUAUUAACUGUGCUGCUGAAGUAAGGCUAGCCACUUCUGCAUGUGAGUCAUGAGAAAGGACGUUUGUGUUUCCUGAAGCUUCUUUGUUGUUGCUUAAAUGUUGAUUGUUUAUGAACAUUUUCUUGGCUUGGUUUGUGUUUUCAUCUAAUCAGUAACAAUAUAUAGGAAUUCAGAUUAUCUGAUGGCAAAUGUGGAGUAGGUGCAUAUGUAGUCUUGACUGCUUUGGUUUACAUGAGAGCUGAAUUUAUUAAAGGAGUCAUCUCAACCUAUACCUGUCUAACAGUGCUUCGGUAAGUGUUUUUAUAUAGAUAUUUAUGUCUAUAAUUAUAACAACACCAUCGCUUUAAAUGUCAGUGCCACUUCAUUAAGACUCCUGUAACUAUGUUAAUUUUUAAAGCAUUUUCUUAAUGGAUGGAAAUUGGGAAAUGUGUUGUGAUAUUUUUAGCAAAGCGAGCACGUACAGCAGGAAUACCUUCCCAAAUUACUAAUGAAACUUAUUCACAUCUCCAUUUUAUAUCUUAAAUCAAACAUUCUUUUCUUAAUUCAUUUCUUAAACUACAAUCAGCUGAAAAUUCUGACCCUAAAAUUGUUAACUAUGUAAGUGACUGUGGAUUCACUAAUUCUUUUCUCAUCUUCCACUGACACGUUUCUUUUGCAGGGGAAUCUUUCAUUGAGACAAUUGAAAUCGCUGCAGUGAGAAUGGAAAUUACUUGGGAUCCUUUCCUUUUAAAAGCUGUAUGCAAGAACUGUGUGGUGAGUCAAACUUGGACUAAUGGUUAUGUAAAUGUCACUAAUUUUAGAUACAGUCAAGAUCUGAAAGUGUUUCCUUUCAGAAUUACAUUUUCUUCACUGUCGUGACUCAGUAUCACUUGCUAAUCUUGUUUUAUUAGCCCUGUUAUAUAUUGCUAUUAAAACACUUAUUUGAAGACUGCAUAUGUCUUACAACUUUAAGUUUAUACAUCGUAUAGAAUCAUAGAAUCGCUGAAGUUGGAAAAGACCCACAGGAUCAUCCAGUCCAACCGUUUGCCCUUCACCAAUGGUUCCCGCUAAACCAUGUCCCUCAACACAACAUCCAAACGUUCUUUGAACACCUCCAGGGUCGGUGACUCCACCACCUCCCUGGGCAGUCCAUUCCAGUGCCUGACCACCCUUUCAGAGCAGUAGUAUUUCCUAAUGUCCAGCCUGAAUCUUCCCUGGUGCAGCUUGAAGCCAUCCCCUCUAGUCCUAUCACUAGUCACCCGAGAGAAGAGGCUGACCCCCAGCUCACUACAACCUCCCUUCAGGUAGUUACAGAGAGCAAUAAGGUCUCCCCUGAGCCUCCUCUUCUCCAGACUGAACAAUCCCAGCUCCUUCAGCCUCUCCUCAUAAGGCCUGUGCUCCAGACCCCUCACCAGCUUUGUUGCCCUCCUCUGGACACGCUCCAGGGCCUCGAUGUCUUUCUUACAGUGAGGGGCCUAAAACUGGACACAGUACUCGAGGUGCGGCCUCACCACUGCUGAGUACAGGGGGAUAAUUACUUCCCUGUUCCUGCUGGCCACACUAUUUCUGAUACAAGCCAGGAUGCCAUUGGCCUUCUUUAUAGAUGUUUUAAAUUGAGGGGAAAAAAAAGGUUAUCUGCACUGGGGAUUUCUUUUGACUCCGGAGAUCUGCUACUGGUGCGGUUGCACAGGUACAAACAUGAUAUAGAUGAAUAUGAAUGCAAGUUGUUAGAAUUCAUAGAUUUCCAUUGCUUUACCAUUUGGAAGUUCAGCCUGGUAUACGUACUGGUUAAAAAUCUUUUUUUUUUUCCUGCCCCUGCUAUGGAUUUGAAAUAAUAGAACAACGUUUGACUAAAACUUUCUAAUUUAGUUCAGACCUGAGCACUUCUCGAUAGUAAGGCUAUCCAGUAUUAAAUAGCCCACAGCUUUUCAUAAAGUAUCUGUGCUUCUGUGUGCCAUUUACCUACUAUGUGUCUCUUGAGAUGCACAGCCAAAAUGAGGUUGACUACUCCAAAAUGAUUAUCUGGCUCAGAGUUGGAUAACUUCUCUGUAACCGUGCACUGCUGCAGACUGUGGUGUUUGCAAAGGGCCAUCCAUGCUGUCGCUCUCGUGGAUCCAAUAUUUAAUAUCUCUGGGCUGUAUCUCUGAGGUUUCAGAGAGCAUAGAUGCAAAUCUAAAAAGCCAAUCGGAAAGAUCUGUUUGCAUGGUAUUGUUGUGUGAAUGGUGAAAUAGACUGCUUUUUUUCUGGUUCUCCAUGCAAACCCCUAUACUCCCGCAAGGCAAUGAGUGGGAAGCAGCAGCAAUAGGAGCUUGCACUGCUUUGUUUAGCAAUAAUGGCUUAGAACAGUUGAGCUGGGUGAUGAAAAUACAAUUUGAGUAUUUGCAGAACCAAGACUCAAACAAGGAAUGAAAAUUCCAGUCUGGACUGAAUGUCAAGAGUAUGAUUUCAAGUGAUUGUGAAGACCUAUCCAUGUUAUUUGGUUCCUAAACCUUUGAAAAGAAUGUCACCUUUUUUGCUCAGUUCAUAGUUGCCUUAAAUAUUAGCUAUUGUAUUUUCCAGAGAUAAGCCUGCAAGGAUGCACUGUCUCCAGUGGUGGAAUGGAACUCUCCUACAUUUGCAGCUCUGAGGUCCUAUGGAUUUUUCCUGAUUGAAGAAAGGAAGGUGUAUUAUUCAAUCCAAAUGCUUAUUUUUCUGUUGAUCUUAGGAACUGUGAGGGGAAGAAGAUGCUUAAUUCAUAAAUAAGGGAAAUAAAAGAAAGGCUUGCUUGCAAAUAUCUUGAGAUUGUUGCUAUUCGAGAGUGAAGAUAGUUGGUGAGAGGAGCAUGUCUGAAACGCCUGUGCUGAAAGAUUGGAGCUGCAAACUGGUAGGGGAAAGAGAUGUGAAACUGGAAAGUUCAAAGGACUGGUACAGGUUGGGCAAUGAUUUUAGGGAUUUAUUUGUUUCUUGAAGAUGGAAGAAGCAGCAGCUUAACAGGAGGAACCCUGCCUGAUUCUGCAAAGAGAAGGUCAGGCUUGGGGAAAGCAGAUCAACCUUAAGGUUUAUUAGAAUGCUUAGCACUGGAGUCAGGCUGUUACAUAGUAGUUUUUGAUAUGAAAUCACUGUCACUUUCAUUUCUCGUCCAAUUCCAUGCAGAAAAGGGCAACUUUAUUACUGCAGUCUGCUACUUUGUGAAAUUUUGCCCUGAAAAGGCCUCCCAAAAAUUAGAUAGUAGUUGAUGGGCCUCUAGAGAUCAUCUAGCCUAAGCAGGAUCAGGCAGAACAGGCCUCUCAGGGCUGUAUCUGAUCUUAAUCUGCCCCCCUGUGUUAGUCUACUAUGAAGCAAUCCACGUGAUCAUAUGGAAUAUUCAAUGAUAGGACCAGCAUGGUGAGCUGCUGAGUCAGGAAAGAUGUUUGUAGGCUGUGCAAGGAGGAAGCCCAACGCUGUUACAGGUGCUGUAGAAAUAGGUUGAAAAUUCUGUAGGGAAUGGACCAAAGCCUACAAGCAGAGGAAGCUGUGUCUUCAUGGUGACAUGAGACAAGAAUUCCUAGGAAUUGGAUGUUAUAUUUAUUUUUCUGUCUUUAUUUUUGUAUGAUGCUGUACAAGUUACUAGGCCAUUGAUUUUUGUAGUGUUUAUGUUUCUCACUUCACAGGUGACUUUAAGCCAUUGUGUCCAGUGGAAACACUAGAUGUUCACAUUUGCAGCUGGUUUGCUUAAGAAUUGUAAACAUGAAUUCAAACUUGAUGGAAUGUGAUGUCCGUCUGGAGUUUCCUACAUAUUUCAAGUGGGAUACAUCUAACUGUUGGCUUUGUUUAGUAGAUGUGCUACAGGGAUGUGCUUCCUCGUGGGAUUUUCUAUGGCAUUUAUGACUUCAGAUCACAGAGGAAGAGUAGAAGAAUAUCUAUACAUAAAACUAACACAAAAAUGCUCACACACACAUGGAUUCUUAGUGUAUGGAAACGGCUGUG
rnacentral:lncRNA from 1 species